GGCAGUGUGGUUCAAUGGUUAGAGUGCCGGACUAGGACACGGGAAAGAGCUGGGUUCGAAUCCCCGCGCCAACUCGGCCA